GUGUUCAUGUGGCCCCAGGCCCGAGAGAGGUACAGAGGAGGCGAGUAGCCAUUAUGCCUUUUCACCAGCGAGAGUCCACACAACUGGCCCCCAUAUCUGAAGUGGGUUACCCGCGUGGGUUGCCACGUAAGCUGAAGGGCACAGGAUCCAGAAAAGGAAUUUCAAACCCGCUUAGACAUUAUUUUUCAUUCCCAAGUAAAACAAACAUGUAUGCGCAGUGUAACCCAUGUCAUAACUAGGAUCUAUAAUGCCCUAAUUGCUGCCGUGAAAGGGAGAGGCAUUUUCUAUUUAAUUUUUUAGAUUACAUUCAGGUAUUUAUGUGUGGUAUUGAGGUACACCGUAUGGAGAGCAGAGGACAGCAGGAAUUGAUCUAUCCUAACCAUGUGGGUCCCGAUCUUGAACUCGAGUUUUUUGGUGGUCGGUAACUUUAUACCUGAACCAUCUUGCAAGGCCCAAGGAAUUGAUCUCCCCCACCACACCCCCGUGCCUGCCUUCUCUCUCCCACUUUCAUCGGCAGUGCGCACCACUUUGCUGGAAUUUCUUAAUUUACCAUCGUUCUAGACUUCUGAGUGAAAAGUGAGUUACUUUGAGAGACCAAACCCAUUCCAGCUUGGGACUGGCCUCCAUCUUAAAAGAAAAAAAGCCUGAGAACUUGACCUACAGCAACACCCAAGCUGCACCCACGUCUGUGCAUAUGAAUACAGAUGCCUGGGGAGCCCAGAGGAGUGGAAUCCCUAGAGCUGGAGGUGCAGAUGGGCGCCAGAAGAGGACAUUAGACUCCUUGGGACUAGACAGGUGUGAACUGCCAUGUCUCUAGAGUUGAUGUUCCGGUCGUGACUGCUCCCUGAUUCUCUGUUGUCUAUCUUGUCUGCUGUGGAGC
rnacentral:lncRNA from 1 species